CCUACGGGUGGCAGCAGUGAGGAAUAUUGGUCAAUGGGCGGAAGCCUGAACCAGCCAAGUCGCGUGCGGGAUUAAGGCCCUAUGGGUCGUAAACCUCUUUUGUCAGGGAGCAAUGGCAUCCACGUGUGGGCGUAUGGAGAGUACCUGAAGAAAAAGCAUCGCCUAACUCCGUGCCAGCAGCCGCGGUAAUACGGAGGAUGCGAGCUUUACCCGGUUUUAUUGGGUUUAAGGGGUGCGUAGGCGGUACCUUAGGUCAGCGUGAAAAUUCCGGGUCUCAACUCCGUAGAGCCGUUGAAACUGGGGUUCUUGAGUGAGCGAGAAGUAUGCGGAAUGCGUGGUGUAGCGGUGAAAUGCAUAGAUAUCACGCAGAACCCCGAUUGCGAAGGCAGCAUACCGGCGCUCAACUGACGCUGAGGCACGAAAGUGCGGGUAUCGAACAGGAUUAGAUACCCGGGUAGUC
rnacentral:rRNA from 1 species